AUGUCGAUUACACACCGGAGGUUGGUAAGAACUGAGGGACAAUGCCCCCCUAACCUAAGUGGGCCUACCAGCGAAACAACUGCUACUGGAUCGGGGGUGGGGGGGUUGGUUUCGUGCAAGGCCUUCGCAGCAGGAAGAGGCAGUUGUCAUUUGAAGGGAAAGGCCCUUUGUAUAGGGUUCCCUGUGCACCCUGAUUCAACAUUUCUAUGGGCGGCGGCGUUCUUGAAUGAAGUCUAUCCGAACCGAAUUAGCACUUCUCAGAUCAGGCUAGGCCUCUCCAGCUCCGCAGGGCGUCGGGGCCCUGGAUGCGCUAGCGAUCGGCACAUAGGGGGUGCCGGGUUUCUCGGCCUGGUAUCCUGCACCUCGCGUUCAUGA